rnacentral:rRNA from 1 species
AUUGAACGCUGGCGGCAGGCCUAACACAUGCAAGUCGAACGAGUGGCGGACGGGUGAGUAAUGUCUGGGAAACUGCCUGAUGGAGGGGGCUAACUACUGGAAACGUUAGCUAAUACCGCAUACCAUCGGAUGUGCCCAGAUGGGAUUAGCUAGUAGGUGGGGUAACGGCUCACCUAGGCGACGAUCCCUAGCUGGUCUGAGAGGAUGAUGAGCCACACUGGGACUGAGACACGGCCCAGACGCCUACGUGAGGCAGCAGUGGGGAAUAUUGCACAAUGGGCGCAAGCCUGAUGCAGCCAUGCCGCGUGUAUGAAGAAGGCCCUCGGGUUGUAAAGUACUUUCAGGCGGGAGGCGUUACCGACAGAAGAAGCACCGGCUAACUCCGUGCCAGCAGCCGCGGUAAUUC